GAAAAGCCGGAAUAGCUCAGUUGGUAGAGCAGAGGACUGAA
rnacentral:tRNA from 1 species